AGCAGUAGCCACGGUAAUACGAAGGGUGCAAGCGUUAAUCGGAAUUACUGGGCGUAAAGCGCGCGUAGGCGGUGAGUUAAGUCUGCUGUGAAAUCCCCGGGCUCAACCUGGGAAUGGCAGUGGAUACUGGCUCGCUAGAGUGUGUCAGAGGAUGGUGGAAUUCCCGGUGUAGCGGUGAAAUGCGUAGAGAUCGGGAGGAACAUCAGUGGCGAAGGCGGCCAUCUGGGACAACACUGACGCUGAGGCACGAAAGCGUGGGGAGCAAACAGGAUUAGAUACCCGCGUAGUCCCUGUCUCUUAUAA
rnacentral:rRNA from 1 species